UACGAAGGGGGCUAGCGUUGCUCGGAAUCACUGGGCAUAAAGGGUGCGUAGGCGGGUCUUUUAAGUCAGGGGUGAAAUCCUGGAGCUCAACUCCAGAACUGCCUUUGAUACUGAGGAUCUUGAGUUCGGGAGAGGUGAGUGGAACUGCGAGUGUAGAGGUGAAAUUCGUAGAUAUUCGCAAGAACACCAGUGGCGAAGGCGGCUCACUGGCCCGAUACUGACGCUGAGGCACGAAAGCGUGGGGAGCGAACAGG
rnacentral:rRNA from 1 species